rnacentral:tRNA from 1 species
UUGCCUAGUUGGUAGAGCAACAGCCUGUGACACGUUGUGUUGUGAGUUCGAUUCCUGCCUGU